AUAUUGUGGUUUUGGAAGUUUUUUUUAAAGAAAAUACGGUUAAUGCAAUAUUAAUUGGUUGUGGCGGUAUAAGAAUGGGUGGUUUUUUUUGUCAACCAGAGAUCCACGGAGAUGGGACGUGAGCGAAGACAAAAAGCAAUGUCCCGCGUGUCAUUGUGUUUCUAAACAAAGCCUGAGAUUAUUAAAUAAAAUCUCUCAUGAACAGAAGAGUUCAUUGGGGAACAGACUUUGCCUAUAUCUGUUUGGAAACGGAGGAAGAAGAAUUCCUGCAAAGGAGAAAUGGCGCAAGCCGAAAAAGGCAACUUCACGGUCAAAGCAUGAAAUAAUGCGGAAUCUCAUUAAUAUAACUUCCAAUUCUCUUUGGUGAAUGUUACAUUCUCACGAGCACAUCAUUGCACUUGAUCGUUUCCGGCCGAGACUAUGACCACCACUGAAUGACAGAUGGUAAGAUUUCAAGCAACAAGACAUUGAGUCAGAAUAUAAAUUAACCGAAAAAUAAAGAUAAUAUGCUGAAGUAAUUCGAGGAAAUGCCACGUAAGGAAAUAGUUAAUGAAGAGAGGGGAAAGAAAGCAUUUAGAAAGAAUGAGAGACACGAAAAAGAGAAACUGAGGUUGGAAGUUGAAUAUGGGUGAGAAAAGAGAAGGGCAACAUGAGUUCCGUGAAAUUCAUAUGAACCAUUGCGUUUGAUUCCCGAAUAAAAGCUGUUCGCAUUUCUGUUCGCACUUGUUUCAUCACAACUGAGUAAAAAAAAGACUUGCAGUAACACAACUUCAAAUUCAAAGAUCAGAAGCUUUAGGUAUUUGCUUAAGAAUUUAAAUCUUUGACUUCCCAUCACUUUGAAUGUUGACUACAGCCAUAACUUAUGUUGUAGACAGGGUUCCUGGUGACUGGCACCGCGAAUGAAA